AUGUAUGUGCGUUAGUAUUCGAACUACUCAUCGCAUCAUCGAACGAAGAUUGUUGUCGCCGAUUUGGCAGGCUACUCUACUAUCAUGGACUGACGGUUCACUAGUAGCUAGAACUGGUUUUUAUUCCUUCCUAGAAAGAAUAGUAGUAUUCGAACUGCUUAUCGCAUCGAACGAAGGUUGUUGUGUUAGAACUGGUUUUCCUAAUAGUAGUGUUUGAAGAUUGAAGACUGUUUUGCAAUCACCGAUUUC